rnacentral:rRNA from 2 species
AGCUUUGAGCUAAAUAUAAUAUAAUAUUAGUUAUUUUUAAAGGUGUUGUAUAACCUUAUUAAAAAUUAUAUUUAGGGGUGAUAGGCUUUUCAAAAUCUAGGAUAUCUUGAAUCUAAUUAAAAGUAUGUAGUACAUUUAACACGACUAUAAAGUGAUUAGGCUUUAUAGAAACUAUUAAACCUUAAGAUAUAAUUAUUUAUUAUAAUUUAAUAACUAACUAUAUAAAUAAAUUAACAUUCAUAUAUUAUAAUUUAUAAAAGAGUAAUUAGAUAGAUUUAAGUUUGUAAAUAAUUGUAAUAAUGUUAAUAUUAGUAUAUAAUUUAUAUUUAUAUGAUGAACUCGGCAAAAAUGCUUCUCAACUGUUUAUCAAAAACAUAACUAUGUGAAAUAAUACAUAGCGGUUUCUGCUCAA